rnacentral:lncRNA from 1 species
UUGAGACUUUAUUUUUUAGAUCAGUUUAGGUUUAUGCAAAACUGCAUGGAAGGUACAAAAUGUCCCCUGUAGUCCUUCCAUGCAUGCACAGUCCCCCAUCAUCAGCACCCCAACAGAGUGAUGUGCUAGUUACAGUCCGUCACUGUACACAUCACCCCAAAUCCACAGUUGACGUUGGAAGUCAUUCUUGAUGUAUAUUCUGUGGUUUAGAGAAAUGUACGAUGGUGUGCAUCCACAAUUACCAUAUCAGCAUUAUUUUGAGUACCUCCAAAGUGUUCUCUGUUCACACCUCUCCCAGUCCUUGGCAGCCACUGAUUUUUUGUUGUUGUUGUUUGUUUGUUUGUUUGUUUUGUCCUAGAGAUUGAACCAGGGGUGUUCUUGUUAAAACAGAUUUUUUUUUUGGCUUCAACCUGGGUUUGACUGCAGGUCUGGGAUGAGGCCCCUGAGUUUUCUACCAGACCACCUCCCCACCUUUUUUUAAGAGACAGUGUCUCCCUAAGUUGCUGAGGCUGUCCUUGAACUGAGGAUCCUCCUGCCUCAGCCUCCCCAGCUGCUAGGACUACAGGGGUGGGCCACCAAGCCCAUCCCACUGAUAUUUUUACUGUCUCCAUACCUGUCUUUCACAAUGCCACAGAGUGAUAGUAUGUGGUCCUUUUCAGAUUGGCUUCUUAGUAACAUGCAUUUAAGUUUCUCUUUUUUCCCCCCUUCAGUAUUAGGGAUUUAGCCUAGUAGAGCUUUACCACUGAGCUGUUCUCCCACUCCUCCUGUUUCCUCCACAUUGUCUCAGGGUCUUUUGUUUUUUUAAAGCACUGAAUAAUAUUACAUUGUCAGUGGUACUUGGUUUAUCCACUCACCUAUGGAUGGACAUCUUAUUUUCUUGCAAACUUAUUAUUAAUCUGCUAUAAACAUCUAUGUGCAGGUUUCAAAAGUCAACCGAUUGGCUUUUCCCCCUUA